AACACAUGCAAGUCGAGCGAGAACCAGUCCUUUGGACUGGGACAGCGGCGAACGGGUGAGUAACACGUGGGUAAUCAACCCCUGACACCGGGAUAGCCCGGGGAAACUCGGAUUAAUACCGGAUGGCCCAACAGCUCCUCGGGGCGGUUGGAAAAGGUAGCUUCGGCCUCCGGUCAGGGACGAGCCCGCGGCGGAUUAGCUUGUUGGUGAGGUAACGGCUCACCAAGGCGACGAUCCGUAGCUGGUCUGAGAGGACGAUCAGCCACACUGGGACUGAGACACGGCCCAGACUCCUACGGGAGGCAGCAGUGGGGAAUCUUGCACAAUGGGCGGAAGCCUGAUGCAGCGACGCCGCGUGAGGGAAGAAGGCUUUCGGGUUGUAAACCUCUUUCAGAAGGGACGAAGCCACUCAGGUUAAUAGCCGAGAGGGUGACGGUACCUUCAGAAGAAGCCC
rnacentral:rRNA from 1 species